AUCCAACUGAUGAGUCCCAGAAAGGACGAAACGCGCGUCCUGUAU
rnacentral:hammerhead_ribozyme from 1 species